UACGUAGGGUGCGAGCGUUGUCCGGAAUUAUUGGGCGUAAAGAGCUCGUAGGCGGUCUGUCGCGUCGGCUGUGAAAACCCGGGCUCAACCCCGGGCCUGCAGUCGAUACGGGCAGACUAGAGUGCGGUAGGGGAGACUGGAAUUCCUGGUGUAGCGGUGAAAUGCGCAGAUAUCAGGAGGAACACCGGUGGCGAAGGCGGGUCUCUGGGCCGUAACUGACGCUGAGGAGCGAAAGCGUGGGGAGCGAACAGG
rnacentral:rRNA from 1 species